UAGGAUAGAGGCCUACCAUGGUUUUAACGGGUAACGGGGAAUUAGGGUUCGAUUCCGGAGAGGGAGCCUGAGAAACGGCUACCACAUCCAAGGAAGGCAGCAGGCGCGCAAAUUACCCAAUCCCGACACGGGGAGGUAGUGACAAUAAAUAACAAUACGGGGCUCAUUUGGGUCUCGUAAUUGGAAUGAGUACAAUUUAAAUCUCUUAACGAGGAACAAUUGGAGGGCAAGUCUGGUGCCAGCAGCCGCGGUAAUUCCAGCUCCGAUAGCGUAUAUUAAAGUUGUUGCAGUUAAAAAGCUCGUAGUUGAACUUCGGGGUUUACCCAUUGGUCAGGCUUAAUUGUCUGUACUGGUGAGAUAAAUCUCUACCUUCUGAGGAACUUUCAUGUCAUUAAUUUGGUGUGAUUGGAAAUCAGGACUGUUACUUUGAAAAAAUUAGAGUGUUUAAAGCAGGCUAACGUCUGAAUACAUUAGCAUGGGAUAAUGAAAUAGGACGGAUUGAUUCUAUUUCGUUGGUUUCUAGGAUCACCGUAAUGAUUAAUAGGGAUAGUUGGGGGCAUUAGUAUUCAAUUGUCAGAGGUGAAAUUCUUGGAUUUAUUGAAGACUAACUACUGCGAAAGCAUUUGCCAAGGAUGUUUUCAUUAAUCAAGAACGAAAGUUAGGGGAUCGAAGACGAUCAGAUACCGUCGUAGUCUUAACCAUAAACUAUGCCGACUAGGGAUCGGACGAAGUAA
rnacentral:rRNA from 1 species